rnacentral:misc_RNA from 1 species
ACAAACUUGGUCAUUUAGAGGAAGUAAAAGUCGUAACAAGGUCUCCGUAGGUGAACCUGCGGAGGGAUCAUUACGAAAACGAGUUGCGAGACUCGGAAACCAUCGCGAACAUUACCUCGUCGUUGCUUCGGCGGCGCGGCCCGCUGAGGGCGCCCGCCGGAGGUGCGCCGGACACCCUAUUUCUUAGCGACUCUCUGAGUGGAUACGGCAAAAUCAAGUCAAAACUUUCAACAACGGAUCUCUUGGUUCUGGCAUCGAUGAAGAACGCAGC